GGGUUGUGAGGUUAAGCGACUAAGCGUACACGGUGGAUGCCCUGGCAGUCAGAGGCGAUGAAGGGCGUGCUAAUCUGCGAUAAGCGCCGGUAAGGUGAUAUGAACCGUUAUAACCGGCGAUACCCGAAUGGGGAAACCCAGUGUGAUUCGUCACACUAUCAUUAACUGAAUCCAUAGGUUAAUGAGGCGAACCGGGGGAACUGAAACAUCUAAGUACCCCGAGGAAAAGAAAUCAACCGAGAUUCCCCCAGUAGCGGCGAGCGAACGGGGAGGAGCCCAGAGCCUGAAUCAGCAUGUGUGUUAGUGGAAGCGUCUGGAAAGGCGCGCGAUACAGGGUGACAGCCCCGUACACAAAAGCGCAUGUGCUGUGAGCUCGAUGAGUAGGGCGGGACACGUGGUAUCCUGUCUGAAUAUGGGGGGACCAUCCUCCAAGGCUAAAUACUCCUGACUGACCGAUAGUGAACCAGUACCGUGAGGGAAAGGCGAAAAGAACCCCGGCGAGGGGAGUGAAAAAGAACCUGAAACCGUGUACGUACAAGCAGUGGGAGNNNNNNNNNNNNNNNNUGACUGCGUACCUUUUGUAUAAUGGGUCAGCGACUUAUAUUCUGUAGCAAGGUUAACCGAAUAGGGGAGCCGGAGGGAAACCGAGUCUUAAUUGGGCGUUAAGUUGCAGGGUAUAGACCCGAAACCCGGUGAUCUAGCCAUGGGCAGGUUGAAGGUUGGGUAACACUAACUGGAGGACCGAACCGACUAAUGUUGAAAAAUUAGCGGAUGACCUGUGGCUGGGGGUGAAAGGCCAAUCAAACCGGGAGAUAGCUGGUUCUCCCCGAAAGCUAUUUAGGUAGCGCCUCGUGAAUUCAUCUCCGGGGGUAGAGCACUGUUUCGGCUAGGGGGCCAUCCCGGCUUACCAACCCGAUGCAAACUGCGAAUACCGGAGAAUGUUAUCACGGGAGACACACGGCGGGUGCUAACGUCCGUCGUGAAGAGGGAAACAACCCAGACCGCCAGCUAAGGUCCCAAAGUCAUGGUUAAGUGGGAAACGAUGUGGGAAGGCCCAGACAGCCAGGAUGUUGGCUUAGAAGCAGCCAUCAUUUAAAGAAAGCGUAAUAGCUCACUGGUCGAGUCGGCCUGCGCGGAAGAUGUAACGGGGCUAAACCAUGCACCGAAGCUGCGGCAGCGACGCUUAUGCGUUGUUGGGUAGGGGAGCGUUCUGUAAGCCUGCGAAGGUGGCCUGUGAGGGUUGCUGGAGGUAUCAGAAGUGCGAAUGCUGACAUAAGUAACGAUAAAGCGGGUGAAAAGCCCGCUCGCCGGAAGACCAAGGGUUCCUGUCCAACGUUAAUCGGGGCAGGGUGAGUCGACCCCUAAGGCGAGGCCGAAAGGCGUAGUCGAUGGGAAACGGGUUAAUAUUCCCGUACUUGGUGUUACUGCGAAGGGGGGACGGAGAAGGCUAUGUUGGCCGGGCGACGGUUGUCCCGGUUUAAGCGUGUAGGUGUGUGUUCCAGGUAAAUCCGGUUCACUUUAACACUGAGGCGUGACGACGAGGCACUACGGUGCUGAAGCAACAAAUGCCCUGCUUCCAGGAAAAGCCUCUAAGCAUCAGGUAACAUCAAAUCGUACCCCAAACCGACACAGGUGGUCAGGUAGAGAAUACCAAGGCGCUUGAGAGAACUCGGGUGAAGGAACUAGGCAAAAUGGUGCCGUAACUUCGGGAGAAGGCACGCUGACACGUAGGUGAAGUGAUUUACUCAUGGAGCUGAAGUCAGUCGAAGAUACCAGCUGGCUGCAACUGUUUAUUAAAAACACAGCACUGUGCAAACACGAAAGUGGACGUAUACGGUGUGACGCCUGCCCGGUGCCGGAAGGUUAAUUGAUGGGGUCAGCGCAAGCGAAGCUCCUGAUCGAAGCCCCGGUAAACGGCGGCCGUAACUAUAACGGUCCUAAGGUAGCGAAAUUCCUUGUCGGGUAAGUUCCGACCUGCACGAAUGGCGUAAUGAUGGCCAGGCUGUCUCCACCCGAGACUCAGUGAAAUUGAACUCGCUGUGAAGAUGCAGUGUACCCGCGGCAAGACGGAAAGACCCCGUGAACCUUUACUAUAGCUUGACACUGAACAUUGAGCCUUGAUGUGUAGGAUAGGUGGGAGGCUUUGAAGUGUGGACGCCAGUCUGCAUGGAGCCGACCUUGAAAUACCACCCUUUAAUGUUUGAUGUUCUAACGUGGACCCGUUACCCGGGUUGCGGACAGUGUCUGGUGGGUAGUUUGACUGGGGCGGUCUCCUCCUAAAGAGUAACGGAGGAGCACGAAGGUUGGCUAAUCCUGGUCGGACAUCAGGAGGUUAGUGCAAUGGCAUAAGCCAGCUUGACUGCGAGCGUGACGGCGCGAGCAGGUGCGAAAGCAGGUCAUAGUGAUCCGGUGGUUCUGAAUGGAAGGGCCAUCGCUCAACGGAUAAAAGGUACUCCGGGGAUAACAGGCUGAUACCGCCCAAGAGUUCAUAUCGACGGCGGUGUUUGGCACCUCGAUGUCGGCUCAUCACAUNNNGGGCUGAAGUAGGUCCCAAGGGUAUGGCUGUUCGCCAUUUAAAGUGGUACGCGAGCUGGGUUUAGAACGUCGUGAGACAGUUCGGUCCCUAUCUGCCGUGGGCGCUGGAGAACUGAGGGGGGCUGCUCCUAGUACGAGAGGACCGGAGUGGACGCAUCACUGGUGUUCGGGUUGUCAUGCCAAUGGCACUGCCCGGUAGCUAAAUGCGGAAGAGAUAAGUGCUGAAAGCAUCUAAGCACGAAACUUGCCCCGAGAUGAGUUCUCCCUGAGACUUAAAGUCUCCUGAAGGAACGUUGAAGACGACGACGUUGAUAGGCCGGGUGUGUAAGCGCAGCGAUGCGUUGAGCUAACCGGUACUAAUGAACCGUGAGGCUUAACCUUACAACGCCGAAG
rnacentral:rRNA from 1 species